rnacentral:rRNA from 1 species
UACGUAGGGGGCAAGCGUUGUCCGGAAUCAUUGGGCGUAAAGAGCGUGUAGGUGGCUCGGUAAGUCCGCUGUAAAAGUCCAGGGCUCAACCCUGGAAAGCCGGUGGAAACUGUCGAGCUAGAGUCCGGAAGAGGCGAGUGGAAUUCCUGGUGUAGCGGUGAAAUGCGCAGAUAUGUGGAGGAACACCAAUGGCGAAGGCAGCCCCCUGGGAUAACACUGACGCUCAUGCACGAAAGCGUGGGGAGCAAACAGG